rnacentral:rRNA from 1 species
AACUUUCAACAACGGAUCUCUUGGCUCUCGCAUCGAUGAAGAACGCAGCGAAAUGCGAUAAGUAAUGUGAAUUGCAGAAUUCAGUGAAUCAUCGAAUUUUUGAACGCACCUUGCGCCCUUUGGUAUUCCGAGGGGCAUGCCUGUUUGAGUGUUA